rnacentral:rRNA from 1 species
UACGUAGGGUCCGAGCGUUGUCCGGAAUUAUUGGGCGUAAAGAGCUCGUAGGCGGUUUGUCGCGUCUGCUGUGAAAUCCCGAGGCUCAACCUCGGGCCUGCAGUGGGUACGGGCAGACUGGAGUGCGGUAGGGGAGAAUGGAAUUCCUGGUGUAGCGGUGGAAUGCGCAGAUAUCAGGAGGAACACCAAUGGCGAAGGCAGCUCACUGGGACGGUAUUGACGCUGAGACGCGAAAGCGUGGGGAGCAAACAGG